AGUGAACGCUGGCGGUAGGCCUAACACAUGCAAGUCGAACGGCAGCACAGUAAGAGCUUGCUCUUACGGGUGGCGAGUGGCGGACGGGUGAGGAAUACAUCGGAAUCUACUUUUUCGUGGGGGAUAACGUAGGGAAACUUACGCUAAUACCGCAUACGACCUACGGGUGAAAGCAGGGGAUCUUCGGACCUUGCGCGAUUGAAUGAGCCGAUGUCGGAUUAGCUAGUUGGCGGGGUAAAGGCCCACCAAGGCGACGAUCCGUAGCUGGUCUGAGAGGAUGAUCAGCCACACUGGAACUGAGACACGGUCAAGACUCCUACGGGAGGCAGCAGUGGGGAAUAUUGGAAAAUGGGCGCAAGCCUGAUCCAGCAAUACCGCGUGGGUGAAGAAGGCCUUCGGGUUGUAAAGCCCUUUUGUUGGGAAAGAAAAGCAGCAGGUUAAUACCCCGCUGUUCUGACGGUACCCAAAGAAUAAGCACCGGCUAACUUCGUG
rnacentral:rRNA from 1 species